AGCGGCGUAAGGGGCAGUAAUACCUGGGAACGUACCCUUUGGUCGGGGAUAGCUGCUGGAAACGGCGAGUAAUACCCGAUGAACUCGAGAGAGCAAAGGCUUGCCGCCGGAGGAGCGGCCCAGGCGAUAUUAGCUAGUUGGUGGGGUAAUGGCCUACCAAGGCUUAGAUGUCUAGCGGGUGUGAGAGCACGACCCGCGCCACUGGCACUGAGACACUGGCCAGACACCUACGGGUGGCUGCAGUCGAGAAUCUUCGGCAAUGAGCGCAAGCUUGACCGAGCGACGCCGCGUGCGGGAUGAAGGCCUUCGGGUUGUAAACCGCUUUGGUCCGAAAGAAAGGGUAAAACUUGAUCGAUCGGAGAAACAAGGACGGGCUAAGUUCGUGCCAGCAGCCGCGGUAAGACGAACCGUCCAAACGUUAUUCGGAAUCACUGGGCUUAAAGGGCGCGUAGGCGGCCGAGCGGGUCGCGGGUGAAAUCCUCCAGCUUAACUGGAGAACUGCCCUCGAUACCACUGCGGCUCGAGGAAGGAAGGGGUCAUGGGAACUGUCGGUGGAGCGGUGAAAUGCGUUGAUAUCGACAGGAACGCCUGUGGCGAAAGCGCAUGACUGGUCCUUUUCUGACGCUGAGGCGCGAAAGCCAGGGGAGCAAACGGGAUUAGAUACCCCGGUAGUCCUGGCCUUAAACGAUGAGAACUAGGU
rnacentral:rRNA from 1 species